UACCAACCAGGGCCCGAAUCGCGGCAGUCGUGAGCGAGCAAGUAAUCGUAUCGAGUGAAAUUUCGUAACGUGUCGAGUGUGCGGAUCGUCGCACUCGACACGAAACGAAUAGAAAUUUUAUGAAAUAACUUCCCUGGUGUAGCUGUAAAUGACAUUUUCGAAUACAUUCAAAUACGAAACAAAACAAGUAUUUGAAUUUGAAUUCAAUGCAAAUCUUAUAUAUAAAAAUGAAUCGCAAAAUGUGUUGGUAAGCGCAUAACUCAACAACGCUUAGAACAAUUUUGCCAAUUCUUUUUUUAAAAUGUUCUUUGAGGUUCAAGGAAGGUUUUUACGGCAAGAAAAAUUCGAAUAAUUGACGGAAAACCCUUAAAACCAGCCCUUUUCUUUUUCCCAUACAAACGAGUGAAUGUUUGUUUAUUAGUAACGCUGAGAGAACGACUGAACCAAUCUUGAUGAAAUUUUCAGAGAAUGUUCUGGGAGGAUCGGGGAAGGUAUAGAAAUAAAAAAACCUGUAUGCUUUUCGUGAGAAAGAGUCGGAAAAUUGGACAAUUCCAAAAAGUUAAUUUUUUCCAUACAAAUUUUUUUAAAUUUUUUUGUUUUGUUUUUCAAUUAUUUGAAUCGUUCAAAUUUGUCGUUUGCUUCAAAAAUUUUUGAAAAUUAUUCAGUGAAAUUGUUAUGUGUGUUGCAUACAAAGUGAUCAAUUAAAGAUUGAAAUUUGCUACGAUGUCACGAAGAGGUCCCGCUAAUAUCGGUCGGCGUUCGUUUUGGCAUCAACAUACAUUAGUAGCCCAAGGCACAUGACCGAGUAUUCCCAGGAUGCGAUGACAUACGUGCGGUGUUAUGGAUCGCGGUCAAUUAGCAAGCGAUCGUCACGAUGUCACAGCAAGACUUUUAAAACAACAGCUUCGAUGGACUUUAUCUUGAAGCAACGUAUAUAUGGUGCUGUUAGAUGCUAGAUGUACUCUUUUGAGUGGCAAAAGAGAGGUUUGCCGCACGCAUACAUUCUUCUUUGGAUGGUGGAUGGUGGUUACACCAGAUCAUAUUGAUGAAACCAUUUCUGCGGAAAUUCGUGAUCCAGAGAAAGAUCCAGUAUUAUACGAAGUGGUAGAAACCAAUAUGGUUCAUGGACCUUGCAUCCACUACAAUCGCUUUUCGGUUUGUAUAUCUGAUAAUAAAUGCACGAAACACUAUCCAAGUGCUUUUCUCUCGGAAACACAAACUCAUCGGCAUCGUACACCAGAUAACAAUGCCAGAACAUUCAGCAUUCAAUUUAAAAGAGUGUAUAUCGAAGCUGACAACACAUGGAUCGUACUAUAUUCCCAUUGUUGUUUAAUUCACAUUCAAAACUCAUAUCAAUGUUGAGUAUUGCAGUUUGGUUAAAUCUAUAUAAUGCGUUUGUAAGUACGUCACCAAUGGAAGCAAUACGAUACGGUCGAUACGUGAACCGCAAUAAAGCGCUUUGUAGAAUAUUUACUUUUGCAAUUCAUGAACGUUUUCCGACCGGCGAGAACAUUGCCCUAUUCGGAAAUACCUUGAUAUUAUUAUCUGGAAUGCAUCGUCGAAGAAAUAGUUGCGCAGAAAGCAAGGCCAACCAGUGGAUGGGCAUCCAGAUGUGUUAUCAACUAAUGCAUUAGGACGAAUUUACACAAUCUACCCGAAAAACGACGAUUGUUUCUACCUUCGGUUGCUAUCGAUUAAUGAACGCGGUUCAACUUCAUUUGAGUCAUUGCGUACUGUGAAUGUUACGGUGUCUGUGAGUUUUGGAGAAGUAUGCCAGGAAUUAAAAUUGCUGGUAAAUGUCAAUCACUGGAAUGCACAUGAAGUUAGCACACUUUUCGCGAUAAUCAUUUCGACGUAUCAGCCUUCAAAUCCGAACCUAUUAUGGGAUACGAACAAAAAUAACAUUGCCGAAGACAUUUUACAUCGUCUUCGCUAAAACUUGGAAAUGGGUCAAUUCCGGUUGAUACUUCCAGUGGUUUGAUAUCAAUUCCAUUCGCCGCUUAUCAAUUCACGAAAGAUGAACUCAUCACGAAUGUGUAUCCGAAUAUUGGCCAAAUUAUCGUAACUACGAUUCCUUAAGUGCACGCGCAAUGUUAGCUGCCAAAAAUACCGAUGUUUUGACUUAAACUUGAAGAUUCAAAGCCAAAUUCCGGGAGACUUACGCUCAUACAAAUCGAUCGAUCGUUUUGACAAUGAAGGCGACGCCAUGAAUUAUCCUUUGGAAUUUCUAAAUUUUUUGGAGGCUUGGUAGUUUGCCACCGCAUCAUUUGCGUCUCAAAGCUGGAUCUGUCGUUAUUAUGUUCCGCAAUCUGCGCUAUCGAAUACAAGGGGACAGAAUGCUUGAUUCUAAUAAUUCCUUUGAGUUCUAACGAUUUGCCAUUUCAUUUCAAACGUAUUCCGUUUCCAGUGAAAAUCGGUCAGAUAUACGUUGCGUACUCACGAGUUGGAAAACCAAAAUAAAUAAAUAAAUUACAUUGAAAUAAAAAAAAAAUGAAAUGGUAAAUUUAACUUUCUUUUCAUUUCCAAAUACAUAAUUUCAAGCAGGACAACGGCUGCGGGGUCAGCUAGUAUUCAAUAUAUGUUUAUACAAUAUGUGUAAUAAAUUGUAUAUAAAUUUACUAAAUUUAGUUUUUGCAUUCAAUAAAAUGAACCCUAACGUGUUUUUAUACAAGUUCAUCUGAUUCAGAUGAAAAAUAUCACGAAAUGGCCAUACGAUUCAGGAUUCGUGAUAAAAGUAAUUCCAUGGAUUUACCUGAAGCAGCAUUCAGGAAGUGAUUUAGACUGACCAAAGACGCAUUUACUUUCAUCAUAUCGGAAAUAAAAAUUAACGGACAUUUAUCAACCGCAGUACCAUCAAUCAGCCGGUGGGCCGGUGGAAAAUUUUCACUAAAGAUAACAUAAGUCGGUAUAUUCCUGAAAAGGUGGCAAAGUUCGGCAAUGUAUGUGCAGUGUUGCAUACAGUUAAAAAAUUCAACAUAUUGAAAAUAUUUUGUAAAUGAAAACAAUAAUAUAGAAAUAGAUACGGGAAAUGAGACUCAAUUAACUAAAUUGGUCAUAAAAUUAGAGAUCAUAUUAGCCAGUAUUUUAUUAUCUAAAUGAAUUAAACGUUCCAACAACAUUUGAAUUCAUGUUUUGUUCUAAUAAAUAUAUUUUCAAUAAAAACAGGAACUUGGAAUUAACAUAUCGUA